UUCAGAGGUCUCGAGCGUUGUUCGGAUUUACUGGGCGUAAAGGGAGCGUAGGCGGCCGGGUGUGUCGAAUGUGAAAGCCCACAACUCAACUGUGGAAUGGCAUUCGAAACUACCUGGCUAGAGUACUGGAGAGGAGAGCGGAAUUCUUGGUGUAGCGGUGAAAUGCGUAGAUAUCAAGAGGAACACCGGUGGCGAAGGCGGCUCUCUGGACAGAUACUGACGCUGAGGCUCUAAAGUUAGGGGAGCAAACAGGAUUAGAUACCCGGGUA
rnacentral:rRNA from 1 species